rnacentral:rRNA from 1 species
GGCUACACACGUGCUACAAUGGGUAGAACAGAGAGUUGCAAAGUCGUGAGGUGAAGCUAAUCUCAGAAAACUAUUCUUAGUUCGGAUUGUACUCUGCAACUCGAGUACAUGAAGUUGGAAUCGCUAGUAAUCGCGAAUCAGCAAUGUCGCGGUGAAUACGUUCUCGGGUCUUGUACACACCGCCCGUCACACCACGAGAGUUGGUUGCACCUGAAGUAGCAGGCCUAACCGUAAGGAGGGAUGCUCCGAGGGUGUGAUUAGCGAUUGGGGUGAAGUCGUAACAAGGUAUCCGUACGGGAACGU